GAUGAACGCUGGCGGCGUGCCUAAUACAUGCAAGUCGAGCGAACAGACGAGGAGCUUGCUCCUCUGACGUUAGCGGCGGACGGGUGAGUAACACGUGGAUAACCUACCUAUAAGACUGGGAUAACUUCGGGAAACCGGAGCUAAUACCGGAUAAUAUAUUGAACCGCAUGGUUCAAUAGUGAAAGACGGUUUUGCUGUCACUUAUAGAUGGAUCCGCGCCGCAUUAGCUAGUUGGUAAGGUAGCGGCUUACCAAGGCAACGAUGCGUAGCCGACCUGAGAGGGUGAUCGGCCACACUGGAACUGAGACACGGUCCAGACUCCUACGGGAGGCAGCAGUAGGCAAUCUUCCGCAAUGGGCGAAAGCCUGACGGAGCAACGCCGCGUGAGUGAUGAAGGUCUUCGGAUCGUAAAACUCUGUUAUUAGGGAAGAACAAAUGUGUAAGUAAAUAUGCACGUCUUGACGGUACCUAAUCAGAAAGCCACGGCUAACUACGUG
rnacentral:rRNA from 1 species